rnacentral:lncRNA from 1 species
CUUACAACUACCGGUAUAAGGGUAGAGGCCCGAAACUCCGCUGGGGAUAUAAAUCACCACAGGGAAGCACAAUGAAUAGACGACAAAUGUCAAUUAGGAACCUCCAUCCCAAUAUAUGUGUUGGGAGGAAACGGAAGAAACCGUCAUCCACGAGGGUUUAUCUCAGUGGGGAACUGCAGAAGGAAAAGACAGACACUUUCUGCUUAUGGGCUGACUCUAUAUGGAGAGAUUU